CUCUCCUUGGCCGACAGGUCCGGGAACCCCGUUGAACCCCGGUCGUGCUAGGGAUAGGGAAUUGCAAUUAUUUCCCUUGAACGAGGAAUUCCCAGUAAGCGCGAGUCAUUAGCUCGCGUUGAUUACGUCCCUGCCCUUUGUACACACCGCCCGUCGCUACUACCGAUUGAAUGGUUUAGUGAGGUCCUCCGAUUGGACCCGGUCCGGGCGGCGACGUCCGAGCCGGCGUCCGAGAAGACGAUCUAACUUGAUCAUUUAGAGGAAGUAAAAGUCGUAACAAGGUUUCCGUAGGUGAACCUGCGGAAGGAUCAUUA
rnacentral:ncRNA from 1 species